rnacentral:rRNA from 1 species
AAUGAACGCUGGCGGCAGGCCUAACACAUGCAAGUCGAACGGACCCUUCGGGGUUAGUGGCGGACGGGUGAGUAACACGUGGGAACGUGCCUUUAGGUUCGGAAUAGCUCCUGGAAACGGGUGGUAAUGCCGAAUGUGCCCUUCGGGGGAAAGAUUUAUCGCCUUUAGAGCGGCCCGCGUCUGAUUAGCUAGUUGGUGAGGUAAUGGCUCACCAAGGCGACGAUCAGUAGCUGGUCUGAGAGGAUGACCCGCCACAUUGGGACUGAGACACGGCCCAAACUCCUACGGGAGGCAGCAGUGGGGAAUCUUGCGCAAUGGGCGAAAGCCUGACGCAGCCAUGCCGCGUGGAUGAUGAAGGUCUUAGGAUUGUAAAAUCCUUUCACCGGUGAAGAUAAUGACUGUAGCCGGAGAAGAAGCCCCGGCUAACUUCGUGCCAGCCGCCGCCGUAA